UACGUAGGGUGCGAGCGUUACUCGGAAUUACUGGGCGUAAAGCGUGCGCAGGCGGUUUUGUAAGCCGGAUGUGAAAUCCCCGGGCUUAACCUGGGAAUGGCAUUUGGGACUGCAAGGCUCGAGUGCGGCAGAGGAGACUGGAAUUCCUGGUGUAGCAGUGAAAUGCGUAGAUAUCUGGAGGAACACCGGUGGCGAAGGCGGCAUCCUGGACCAAUACUGACACUGAGGAGCGAAAGCCAGGGGAGCAAACGGG
rnacentral:rRNA from 1 species